GAUGAACGCUGGCGGCGUGCCUAAUACAUGCAAGUCGAGCGAACAGACGAGGAGCUUGCUCCUCUGACGUUAGCGGCGGACGGUGAGUAACACGUGGAUAACCUACCUAUAAGACUGGGAUAACUUCGGGAAACCGGAGCUAAUACCGGAUAAUAUAUUGAACCGCAUGGUUCAAUAGUGAAAGACGGUUUUGCUGUCACUUAUAGAUGGAUCCGCGCCGCAUUAGCUAGUUGGUAAGGUAACGGCUUACCAAGGCAACGAUGCGUAGCCGACCUGAGAGGUUGAUCGGCCACACUGGAACUGAGACACGGUCCAGACUCCUACGGGAGGCAGCAGUAGGGAAUCUUCCGCAAUGGGCGAAAGCCUGACGGAGCAACGCCGCGUGAGUGAUGAAGGUCUUCGGAUCGUAAAACUCUGUUAUUAGGGAAGAACAAAUGUGUAAGUAACUAUGCACGUCUUGACGGUACCUAAUCAGAAAGCCACGGCUAACUACGUG
rnacentral:rRNA from 1 species